CUCGUAGGCGGCCAACUAAGUCCGACGUGAAAUCCCAAGGCUUAACCUCGGAACUGCGUCGGAUACUGGAUGGCUUGAAUUCGGGAGAGGGAUGCAGAAUUCCAGGUGUAGCGGUGAAAUGCGUAGAUAUCUGGAGGAAUACCGGUGGCGAAGGCGGCAUCCUGGACCGACAUUGACGCUGAGGAGCGAAAGCUAGGGGAAGGCAAACG
rnacentral:rRNA from 1 species